AGUCAAGCGAGCGAAGGCAUGUGGGGGAUGCCUGGGUACACGGAGGCGAGGAAGGCCGCGGUAAGCUGCGAAAAGCUCGGGGGAGGCGCACACAGCCAGUGAGCCCGAGGUGGCCGAAUGGGGCAACCCGGCCUGGCGCGAGUCAGGUCACUCUGUCGCGAGACGGAGAGCGAACCCAGGGAACUGAAACAUCUCAGUACCUGGAGGAAGAGAAAUCAACCGAGAGGCUCCUAGUAGCGGCGAGCGAACGGGGUCGAGCCCAAACCGUCUCCCUUGUGGGGGCGGGGUUGUAGGAUCCACGGAUGGUCACAGCGACGUCAAUCGAAGUGCCCUGGAACGGGCCGCCGAAGCGGGUGAGAGCCCCGUAGAUGAAGACUAGGGGCUGUGGCUAGUGGCGAUCCUGAGUAGCGCCCGACACGAGAAAUCGGGCGUGAAGCUGGGGGGACCACCCUCCAAGGCUAGGUAAUACUCCCGUGUAACCGAUAGUGGACGAGUACCGUGAGGGACAGGUGAAAAGCACCCCUGUGCGGGGAGUGAAAGAGAGCCUGAAACCACAUGCCUACAAGCGGUAGGAGG
rnacentral:rRNA from 1 species